GAUUCGAAAUUCCAGACAAAUUCGUCGUUGGAUACGCGCUCGAUUACAAUGAAUACUUCAGGGAUCUCAACCAUAUCUGCGUCAUCAACAAUGCCGGCAAAGAGAAAUAUCGUCAAACAGCGACCAAGUAACCAUUUCCGGACAGUCGACCAUUGAUGUUUUCGCAAAUGCCAUACAUUCCUUUUAAUUUUAUGUUUUGUUAAGCACGCAGUGGAAGUUAUUGACAUAGGACAGCGUUUGUAGAGGGUCUAAGAUUAAAUGCAGGCAUUAAAUGAUACCAAGC